rnacentral:rRNA from 1 species
GAUGAACGCUGGCGGCGUGCCUAAUACAUGCAAGUCGAGCGAACGGACGAGAAGCUUGCUUCUCUGAUGUUAGCGGCGGACGGGUGAGUAACACGUGGAUAACCUACCUAUAAGACUGGGAUAACUUCGGGAAACCGGAGCUAAUACCGGAUGAUAUUUUGAACCGCAUGGUUCAAAAGUGAAAGACGGUCUUGCUGUCACUUAUAGAUGGAUCCGCGCUGCAUUAGCUAGUUGGUAAGGUAACGGCUUACCAAGGCAACGAUGCAUAGCCGACCUGAGAGGGUGAUCGGCCACACUGGAACUGAGACACGGUCCAGACUCCUACGGGAGGCAGCAGUAGGGAAUCUUCCGCAAUGGGCGAAAGCCUGACGGAGCAACGCCGCGUGAGUGAUGAAGGUCUUCGGAUCGUAAAACUCUGUUAUUAGGGAAGAACAUAUGUGUAAGUUACUGUGCACAUCUUGACGGUACCUAAUCAGAAAGCCACGGCUAACUACGUG